CAGCGGCAGUGUGCGCCGCGGAAGUGGCCGAGGUGCCGUGGCUGGUGCCGAGCCGUCCUCAGACGCUGGCGCGACCGACGGACGGUCGCGGUGGACGGCUUCGGAGCGAGAGAUCCCAGCGCAUUGGUCAGAGGGACCGACGCGCCAGCUGGUGGGAACCUCCUGCUCCUGCGGCGAGAAGACUGUUGAUUUGCUUCUGCCUGUCUUUGUCCAGCUGAUCGGAGCGCGCGGGCGGUGGAGUGGAGUGGAGUGGGACGCAGUGGACUGAUCGGAGCGCGCGAGCGGUGGAGUGGGACGCAGUGGACCGAGGAGGUCGGAUCGAAGUAGACACGUCGCCCUCUGGGCUGAUAUCGGGGGGCUGGCCACGUAGGCUGGUCUGGUCUCGUUGGCGAACGAGCACGGCAGAUCCUGCUCGCGUGUUGAGCGUUCGUAUUCGUGGUGCGCAGUUGGAACUGGAUUGGACAUAGCGAAGGCCGAUCCGUACAGUGAGUGUGCGGGAAGUGCUGAUCAGACUGCACUGGCGGAUAGGUGAACUUGCUCGAUCAGCGCUGGUGAACGGGUGGACUUGCUCGGUCAGCGUUGGCGGAUGGGUGGACUUGCUGGAGAGGAAGGCUGCACAUGGAAUGAAGAGAGCGAACAGCCGUUGGACUGACGAGCGUUCUCGGAUGAGCCGUCGCGCCGCUGGGCCGUCCGCUCAAUGUUGAGAUGGCAGCUCGUCUCCACGCGUGCACUGAAGCUGCCAUAGGCCUGUGACGCCACCGCGCGACCAUGUACCGGCAGCGCGACCUCAAUCCGCGCCGGUAGCUCGGGCGCCGCACCGCUCCCAGCAGAACGAGGCUCCCCGCUCGGCUGCCGCUCGGCUGCCGCUUGGCUGCUCGGUCGGCUGUCCGACCUCACUGAGCCAGACGCGCUCCCAGCUCGCUCCCGACGCGCUCCCAGCUGGCUCCCGGCUCCGCCAGAGCGCAGGAGGAGCGCCGCCGCCGGCUGAGCGGCGGGCGGCGCCCGGGUGCGACCCGCGCGCGACGGCGUCCCCGCCGGCGCCGGGCGCGUCCCGGCCGGACGACCAUGCCGCCGCCGGCGUGACUCGUGACUCGUGAGUCGUGCCCCGUGACUGGUGAGUCGUGACCCGUGGUCUGGGAGCGGGACGUGCGACAGUGACCCCGCCCCAGGACCGGAGUGUCGCCGGAAGAGCGCGGCGGACAGGAACGGCCGCGCGACGCAGCAGGGAUUCGUCGAGCUUCAGCGCCGGUGACAGCGCGCCCGCACGAUGGGCCACCAAGAGUCGGGGGUCUCGCCGUUCGCGGCCCUCGCCGACCGGCCGCUCUACAGAGCCGACGCCGGCAGCAAGGGCGGCGGCCGCUACAGUCGGGAGGGUGUG